GAUUAUUACUCUGCUCCACAUAUGCCCCACCUCGCUGCUAAUCAUAGAAGGACUAACAUUAAACAGAAAUAGCUGUCAUCGUCGUUUCAUCGACUGAAUAACGCUAACAAAGUUUUGAUGGAUGACGACUCCAGUCAAGAUUCAUUUGGGCGUUAAUAGUGGUGCCACAGAAAUGCAUAAAUCCCAGUCUGAGGAUGUGAAAAGCUCCGAACAGAAUGUCACAUGUUGUCAUCUCGAGACUACGUUAGAAACGGCGGAUGGCCACGAGCGUGAGGUCCAGCUGUGACGGCCGCAUGCUGGAGGUCAUCCACCGCGCUGUUGGCUCCCAGAGCAUCCCAUGCUGCAUUCCCAAGUUCCUAAAACAUACAGACAGACAUCUUUGAUUCACAGACUGCAGAUUCUGUCUGUUCAUUUCAGAGAAGACAAUCACAAGAAGAAAGACCUGCAGGUUUGGAACUACAUGAGGGCAGAGCUGAAGCUUGGAGCAGCUGAGGAUACUCACAAGUAAUAGUGUGCCCUUUCUCCCGCGGCCAAAGUGGACACUUCAGUAAUCCCGAGACUCAAUAAUCCUCGCAGACCGGGGGGUCGAGAGUGUGGAAAC